CUUGCACUUCCUGUUACAGAAAAAAAAAUCCGAGUCAGCAAGAGCUCCUUUCUAUGGUUUGUUCUAGACUUUCCUUUUGGCUGAUUGUGAUAUACUUCUUUGAAACAAUGGUUCUACGUAACGCAGUCAGGUGAAUCGACUGGUCCUUUUUAUGCUUAGUGACCAUCUAUAUGAAGGUUUACUAAAUUUUGAGAAACACUUGCCAGGACACAAUUAGACUGAAAGAAAGACGUACUGAAAAACUGCCUGUAAACACAACAAUCAUUAAAGUCAAUGGAUUACCAAGGAACAUCCAAGCAAUAUGAUAUCAGAGACUGGCAAUUUUUAUCACUUGAUGUGGCAGAAAAACCUAAAUAAAUAUUGAAAUGUUCAA